CCAACAACAGGCAACAAAAGUCUUCCGUUCAUUUACUCUGUCAUUUUUCACAAUCAAAAUUUGUUAUGUUCUCCAACAGUCAUUUGGUUCUGCUGGUCCUACUGGUGAUCACCUGCUUUCAUUCCAAAACUGUGGCCAAAGAUGAACUCAUGAAUCAGUUUUGUUUAAACACUGAUGAACCUGUACACAUGGAUUCCUCAACAGUACAAGGUCACGGAAUCUCCACAACUUUCUCUAAUUUAGCUACGACAAAUACAGCUAAACAGGAUCACACAGAACAACCACACACCACACAAUCACGUGGACGUUCAGCUUCAACAAAUCCAGCUCAACAGGAUCACGCACAACAUCUACACCCUGUAGAAUCAUAUGGAUGUUCAG